ensembl:processed_transcript 1700101I11Rik RIKEN cDNA 1700101I11 gene
AGAGAAGGACCUGGAGAUCUCGCGGCCUGAAGGUAAAGGACCACCAGUUUCUUGUUUGAUGCCCAAAACAAACACAGAGGAAGAAAAUCCAGCUGUUUCCAGAGCAAUGGAAUCAGGAGUCUGGAGUUGGAAAAGUGCCAGGCGUCACGAGAUUUGUAGCCCGGGCUGAAAUGUCCUGUGCUUGCAUUUUGACCUUUGCCUGGCACCCACGACUGGCCUGCCUUCUCUGCCCCAACUCCUCCUUCUGACUGGUGUCCUUAUGUUUGGAUCUGUGCUAGAAUUGGUUCUGAGACAACAUAAACAGAGCAUGACUCAUGGAUUUGAAGAAGUGUAAGGGUGAAGAACAUGAAGUCAUCAAGGUUAGAAGAAGCGAUGCCAGCGAUGAACACCAGGCUUCACUCACGUUCAAGGAGAGAUGAAUCCAUUCAUUUUAUAAGGUUCACCCAGAAGCAUGGUUGUUGAGUUCUUGAAAAUACAGAGGUCAAAUCAUUUAGGUGUCUAUGUUUCCCCAACAAUACUUUGCUCUGGGGUGGGUAUCACCUGUAGGGUAGUUGUCCUGAUGAAAAGGCCUUAUUGGGCACCAAAAGCUCUGACUGGCAUGCUGGUGGAAGACCCUCAAUAGUAUAGAGAGAGUCAGCCCAGGCCCCUCUGACAUACCGGGUUUCCAUCUUAAGACUCUUUGGAUGCGGGGUCACCCUUCUGAUUCUACUGGCAGUAACUCCAGACCUAUAUCUUGGGAACAUCGGAGAUAAAGUUCAAGGAUGCUUUGUGCUGUGAAAAUAAAAUGACUACUAAGUGGUACCAGGCAAGCAGCCCUGUUGCCUGAUUUUAUGUACAUGACUUAGUGAUAUGGUUAUAAAAUAUGGGCAAAAUAAAGUGAACUGAAUUUAACUGGC